GUCGGCCGCAUCUCCAGCGGUCCGCUACAAUACCGUCGUUGAAGCGUUCAUGGUCUUCACCGGGUGUCUUGUAGCGGACAUGCUGAGCGGUUAUACCACUG
rnacentral:pre_miRNA from 1 species